UGGGGAAUAUUGGACAAUGGGCGCAAGCCUGAUCCAGCCAUGCCGCGUGAGUGAUGAAGGCCCUAGGGUUGUAAAGCUCUUUCACCGGUGAAGAUAAUGACGGUAACCGGAGAAGAAGCCCCGGCUAACUUCGUGCCAGCAGCCGCGGUAAUACGAAGGGGGCUAGCGUUGUUCGGAUUUACUGGGCGUAAAGCGCACGUAGGCGGACUUUUAAGUCAGGGGUGAAAUCCCGGGGCUCAACCCCGGAACUGCCUUUGAUACUGGAAGUCUUGAGUAUGGUAGAGGUGAGUGGAAUUCCGAGUGUAGAGGUGAAAUUCGUAGAUAUUCGGAGGAACGCCAGUGGCGAAGGCGGCUCACUGGACCAUUACUGACGCUGAGGUGCGAAAGCGUGGGGAGCAAACAGG
rnacentral:rRNA from 1 species